GACUCCGUAGCUUUAAGGAAUAGAAGCGCCCGUCUAGCGAAUUGGGAGUCGUGAGUUCGAAUCUCACCGGAGUAC
rfam:Aedes albopictus isolate Foshan contig106217, whole genome shotgun sequence.